CUGAGGCCGCCCGGGUAGGAUCCGGGCGUGAGCAUCGAGCGCCCCACGAGUGCGCGACCCCCGGAGCCGCCCCCAGCACGGACCGCGCCCGCCGGGCACACAAGAAUGGUCACUCAGAUACUCGGGGCCAUGGAGUCUCAGGUGGCAGGGGGCCCGGCCGGCCCGGCCCUGCCCAAUGGGCCACUCCUUGGUACAAACGGAGCCACUGAUGACAGCAAAACCAACCUCAUCGUCAACUACCUGCCCCAGAACAUGACCCAGGAUGAGUUCAAGAGCCUCUUCGGCAGCAUUGGUGACAUUGAGUCCUGCAAGUUGGUUCGGGACAAGAUCACAGGGCAGAGCCUCGGCUACGGGUUUGUGAACUACUCUGACCCCAACGACGCAGACAAAGCCAUCAACACCCUCAACGGCCUCAAACUACAGACAAAGACCAUCAAGGUGUCCUAUGCCAGACCCAGCUCUGCAUCCAUCCGGGAUGCCAACCUGUAUGUCAGCGGGCUCCCCAAGACCAUGAGCCAGAAGGAAAUGGAGCAGCUCUUCUCCCAAUACGGUCGAAUCAUCACUUCCCGGAUCCUGGUGGACCAGGUCACAGGUGUGUCUCGGGGUGUGGGGUUCAUCCGCUUUGACAAGAGGAUUGAGGCCGAGGAGGCCAUCAAAGGACUGAAUGGGCAGAAGCCGCUGGGUGCAGCCGAGCCCAUCACGGUCAAGUUUGCCAACAACCCAAGUCAGAAGACGGGGCAGGCCCUGCUCACGCACCUUUACCAGUCAUCGGCCCGGCGCUAUGCAGGCCCCCUGCACCAUCAGACACAACGCUUCCGGCUGGACAACUUACUCAACAUGGCCUAUGGAGUCAAGAGUCCCCUGUCGCUCAUCGCCAGGUUCUCGCCCAUCGCCAUCGACGGCAUGAGCGGCCUGGCGGGCGUGGGCCUGUCGGGGGGCGCCGCGGGCGCCGGCUGGUGCAUCUUCGUGUACAACCUGUCUCCGGAGGCGGACGAGAGCGUGCUGUGGCAGCUGUUCGGGCCCUUCGGGGCGGUCACCAACGUCAAGGUCAUCCGCGACUUCACCACCAACAAGUGUAAGGGCUUCGGCUUUGUCACCAUGACCAACUACGACGAGGCGGCCAUGGCCAUCGCCAGCCUCAAUGGCUACCGCCUGGGCGAGCGUGUGCUGCAGGUGUCCUUCAAGACCAGCAAACAGCACAAGGCCUGAGCCACCUCCGCCCUCCCCACCUCCCCGGGCAGCAGAGAGAGAGAGAGAGAGAGAGAGAGAGAGAGAGAGAGAUUGAGAGAGAGAGAGAGAGAGGGAGAAGGGGCCCGAGAGAGACAGCGCAGGCAGACCAUGGACGGCACGAGGCCCACACCCCUGCGAAGCCUCAGGGUGAGCACUCGGGCUGGGAGGGUCUGCAGGGAAUGGGGGGUGCCUGGGGUCCCCCACCCCGUCCUCCUGCCCCUACCCCAGGCUGGGCUGUUCACUCUCUCGUCUUGGUUUUGUUCAUGGAGAUGGUUUUUGUUUCUUUUUUCGGCUGAAAAGAAAGCAGAGAUGUGCCCCCACCCAACCGCCAGCCAGCUGCACAGGAUGGUUUGGGCGGGUGCUGGGUGCCUGCCCUCCAGGCCUCCCCACGCUGAGAUUCAGUUGACCUUUCUCCGGUGUCCUGCUUUGGUGUCUGGCCAUGGCCCCAUCUGACUGCCCAGCUCUCUCUCCCCACCCUCCCUGGUGUUUGUUAUUAAACGUCUGUGGAGCUUCUGCUGCAAGGAACAAAAAGAAAAAAUUUAAAAAGCAACAAAAAAAUACAAACAGAAGAGAAAAACAAAAAACAAAAAAAAAAGAAGAAAAAAAACACUGAAGAGAUUUUAAAAAAAGAAAAAAAAAAAAAAAGACAUAAACUGGCACCAGUUAACUUUCUUGUACUUUUUUGCCGAAUUUAGCUUCUUGUAGUUUUAACUUAUUGCUAUGUUAACUAUUUAUUCUUGUUGCCCUGUAAGGACAUUUGUGUAUGUUUCUGUUCCUUCAUCCAGUUUGCAAGUUUAAAGGAACCACGAUGUUCUUUGUUUCUUUAAGUUUUGCUGAGACGUGGUUAUGCCUAAUUUAUUUAUAAAGGGGAAGUGGAAUCAUUAAAGUAAUAAUUAUUAAUAACAGUAACGGCAGCGGUGGCAGCGGUGGGGCGUGUGCGCUCUCCGGGGCGGCCCCCACUUGGCCAGCGACGUCCGGUCUCAAUGGGAUUCUUUUUGCUCGUCUUGAGAAUUUUUUCAGUCCUAUUUAGCUGGUGAAAACCCUAGCUUGUUCUUGAUACACGAACCUAUUUAUUCUUGUGGUUUUAAGUCCUGAUCUCCCUGCUCCCCUCCAGCAGGGCAGGCCCCCCGCGGGUCCCUCCCUCUCCCUCUGUUUCUUGGGGCUUUCUCCCCUCUGCCCUCCCUGCACGCAGGGACACGUGUGCACACGUGGGCAGCGUGCCGGGGGCAUCCGUGAGCAAUAAGGGCUGGGUUUGUCCCCCACCUGGGGGUGCUGGGUUCUGGAGAGGGCACCUCCCCACACAAACCCCCCACACUGAGGCCUAGGCCCCUGCUACCCCCAGACUGGGAGUGCACUUCUUUUUCUAAAACACAGAACUCAGCCCAGCCAGCCCCUACCAGGAAGCUGGCCCAGGGGAGGAGCCUGGGGUCUUCCAUGUCCCUGGGGGGCAGGGGCAGGGCCCUUGGGGAGGGGCUCAGCCCCGCAAGCCCUCCCUUCAUCCUGUUAUUUAUUCGGAAGGUUUCACAUCAUGACAGUCCGUAUGUUGGAGAUGAUAAAGAACUGCAAAAAAAAAAAAAAAAAAAAGACAAAAAAACACUUUGCGUUGCAUUUAGACUAUUUAUUACCGGAUUACAGGCCUGGCCGCGGUAACAGACUUUUACAUGGAAUUGUUUAAUUAUUUGUACUUUUCAUGCCAGAAAAUAAAAGUUCAGAAUCU